CUCUCUCUCACACACACACACACACACACACACACACACACACACACACACACCUCUGCCUUCCUCCUUCCAUGCCAUCUCUCUUGCUUUGUUUGCAUCGUCAUUGGGUACAAGAGCAUCAUUGCCAUCACACAUGAGCACCACUGUUGAUCCACUGUUGGAGCAUUACCCCAGGUUUUUGGAUGCUCUGAGGUUUGAGAGCUUGUGAAAGCAAGAACUUAUAAUCUAUCUCCAAAACUUCAAGAGCCCCAAUUUGAAGAAAAUCGAAGAAGCUAAAGUAUCUCUUGUUGAAAGAGCUCCUAAUUUCAACAAUUGCUGUUCAACUUCCACCCAACCCAAGAUUCGAGAUUUGAUAUAGACCAUGUUUGGUAAUUUGGAGAGCAGAAACUAGCUCAUUUU